GCCCAGGUGGCGGAAUUGGUAGACGCGCACCGUUCAGGUCGGUGUGUCGCAAGGCGUGAAGGUUCGAGUCCUUUCCUGGGCACCA
rnacentral:tRNA from 2 species